GUUAAAAUAAUUUAUAUAAAAUAUUGAGUUGUGGUCUCAAACAUGUGAGUCCCACUUUUAACA
rnacentral:tRNA from 1 species